UGGGGAAUAUUGCACAAUGGGGGAAACCCUGAUGCAGCGACGCCGCGUGAGCGAAGAAGGUUUUCGAAUCGUAAAGCUCUGUCCUAUGAGAAGAUAAUGACGGUAUCAUAGGAGGAAGCCCCGGCUAAAUACGUGCCAGCAGCCGCGGUAAUACGUAUGGGGCGAGCGUUGUCCGGAAUUAUUGGGCGUAAAGGGUACGUAGGCGGUCUAUUAAGUCAGGUGUGAAAGCGUGAGGCUUAACCUCAUUAAGCACUUGAAACUGAUAGACUUGAGUGAAGGAGAGGAAAGUGGAAUUCCUAGUGUAGCGGUGAAAUGCGUAGAUAUUAGGAAGAAUACCGGUGGCGAAGGCGACUUUCUGGACUUUUACUGACGCUCAGGUACGAAAGCGUGGGGAGCAAACAGG
rnacentral:rRNA from 1 species